GAUGAACGCUGGCGGCGUGCCUAAUACAUGCAAGUCGAGCGAACGGACGAGAAGCUUGCUUCUCUGAUGUUAGCGGCGGACGGGUGAGUAACACGUGGAUAACCUACCUAUAAGACUGGGAUAACUUCGGGAAACCGGAGCUAAUACAGGAUAAUAUUUUGAACCGCAUGGUUCAAAAGUAAAAGACGGUCUUGCUGUCACUUAUAGAUGGAUCCGCGCUGCAUUAGCUAGUUGGUAAGGUAACGGCUUACCAAGGCAACGAUGCAUAGCCGACCUGAGAGGGUGAUCGGCCACACUGGAACUGAGACACGGUCCAGACUCCUACGGGAGGCAGCAGUAGGGAAUCUUCCGCAAUGGGCGAAAGCCUGACGGAGCAACGCCGCGUGAGUGAUGAAGGUCUUCGGAUCGUAAAACUCUGUUAUUAGGGAAGAACAUAUGUGUAAGUAACUGUGCACAUCUUGACGGUACCUAAUCAGAAAGCCACGGCUAACUACGUG
rnacentral:rRNA from 1 species